GACGUAGGGCGCGAGCGUUGUCCGGAUUUAUUGGGCGUAAAGAGCUCGUAGGCGGCUUGUCGCGUCGACUGUGAAAACCCGUGGCUCAACCAUGUGGUCUGCAGUCGAUACGGGCAGGCUAGAAUUCGGUAGGGGAGACUGGAAUUCCUGGUGUAGCGGUGAAAUGCGCAGAUAUCAGGAGGAACACCGGUGGCGAAGGCGGGUCUCUGGGGCCGAUAUUGACGCUGAGGAGCGAAAGCGUGGGGAGCAAACAGG
rnacentral:rRNA from 1 species